AUUGAACGCUGGCGGCAGGCCUAACACAUGCAAGUCGAGCGAGCGGCGGACGGGUGAGUAAUGUCUGGGAAACUGCCUGAUGGAGGGGGAUAACUACUGGAAACGGUAGCUAAUACCGCAUACUAUCAGAUGUGCCCAGAUGGGAUUAGCUGGUUGGUGGGGUAACGGCUCACCAAGGCGACGAUCCCUAGCUUGUCUGAGAGGAUGACCAGCCACACUGGAACUGAGACAAGGGCCAGACUCCUACGGGAGGCAGCAGUGGGGAAUAGUGCGCAAUGGGCGCAAGCCUGAUGCAGCCAUGCCGCGUGAAUGAAGAAGGCCUUCGGGUUGUAAAGCACUUUCAGCGGGGAGGCGUUAACCGCAGAAGAAGCACCGGCUAACUCCGUGCCAGCAGCCGCGGUAAUAC
rnacentral:rRNA from 1 species